rnacentral:rRNA from 1 species
UACGUAGGGAGCAAGCGUUGUCCGGAAUCAUUGGGCGUAAAGCGCGUGUAGGCGGCUCGGUAAGUCCGCUCUGAAAGUCCGGGGCUCAACCCCGGGAGGCGGGUGGAUACUGUCGAGCUCGAGUCCGGAAGAGGCGAGUGGAAUUCCUGGUGUAGCGGUGAAAUGCGCAGAUAUCAGGAGGAACACCGAUGGCGAAGGCAGCUCGCUGGGACGUGACUGACGCUGAGACGCGAAAGCGUGGGGAGCAAACAGG